CUAUAGUCAAGAUGCGUGACGUUCAAGUUCUAGAUUAUCAGUUUAUUCAGAGUUCAGUCAGUCAAUGAUUUCACAAUUCCACGCUACAGGAUUAAUUUCACGAGUUCAGGUUUUCACGAUUCGCUAGAAUGACAAUUGCAAAACCUUAUAUGAGAAUAUAUUCUG